GAUGAACGCUGGCGGCGUGCCUAAUACAUGCAAGUCGAGCGAACAGACGAGGAGCUUGCUCCUCUGACGUUAGCGGCGGACGGGUGAGUAACACGUGGAUAACCUACCUAUAAGACUGGGAUAACUUCGGGAAACCGGAGCUAAUACCGGAUAAUAUAUUGAACCGCAUGGUUCAAUAGUGAAAGACGGUUUUGCUGUCACUUAUAGAUGGAUCCGCGCCGCAUUAGCUAGUUGGUAAGGUAACGGCUUACCAAGGCGACGAUGCGUAGCCGACCUGAGAGGGUGAUCGGCCACACUGGAACUGAGACACGGUCCAGACUCCUACGGGAGGCAGCAGUAGGAAAUCUUCCGAAAUGGGCGAAAGCCUGACGGAGCAACGCCGCGUGAGUGAUGAAGGUCUUCGGAUCGUAAAACUCUGUUAUUAGGGAAGAACAAAUGUGUAAGUAACCAUGCACGUCUUGACGGUACCUAAUCAGAAAGCCACGGCUAACUACGU
rnacentral:rRNA from 1 species